GGACGGAAGGGCACCCGAGUCUAGCCGGUCCUCUUGCUACCGGAGGUCGCGUUCUUCCUCUGCUUCCUUUCGUUCUUUCCUGCGUAGCCUUCUGUGAGCACGGCUUGGUUUGUCUGUGCCACCGUUUCUCUUUUGGGUUUCAAUAAAGUUUUCCUCUUCCUCCCUUUGUACAGAGCUCAAGAUGGCGGCCUCCUGGUCGCCCUUGGUUACACUGCGCUUAGUGCAGAGCCGGCUGAGAGGGAGAUGUGUUGGGUGCGGGGCCUGGGCUGCUGCUCUCGCCCCUCCGGCCACCGCCCCUGGAAACACCUUUUGGAAAGCCUAUACAGUCCAGACACCUGAGAUUAUGUCUCCAACUGCGACUACAGAGGUUUAUUCAAAAGCUUUGGCUGUUUGCCAUGGACCACUGGACCACUAUGACUUUCUGAUCAAAGCUCAUGAGCUAAAGGAUGAUGAACAUCAAAGAAGAGUCAUACAGUGUUUGCAGAAAUUACACGAGGACCUUAAAGGAUAUGAUAUAGAGGCAGGAGGUCUUUUUUCAAAGCUGUUUUCAAGGAGCAAACCUCCAAGGGGCCUGUAUGUUUAUGGAGAUGUUGGUACAGGGAAAACAAUGGUGAUGGACAUGUUUUAUGCUUAUGUGGAAAUGAAGAGGAAGAAACGGGUUCAUUUUCAUGGUUUCAUGCUAGAUGUUCAUGAAAGAAUACACCGCCUUAAACAGAGUUUGCCAAAAAGGAAACCGGGAUUCAUGGCUAAAUCAUAUGAUCCAAUAGCUCCCAUAGCUGAAGAAAUCAGCGAAGAGGCAUGUCUCUUAUGUUUUGAUGAGUUUCAGGUCACUGACAUUGCUGAUGCCAUGAUUCUGAAACAGCUUUUUGAAAAUCUGUUCAAAAAUGGGGUCGUCGUUGUGGCAACAUCCAACAGGCCACCGGAAGAUCUCUAUAAAAAUGGACUCCAAAGAGCUAACUUUGUACCAUUCAUUGCUGUUCUAAAGGAAUACUGUAAGACUGUCCAGCUAGAUUCUGGGAUAGAUUACCGGAAAAGGGAACUUCCUGCUGCAGGAAAACUCUACUAUCUCACAAGUGAAGCUGAUGUGGAGGCUGUCAUGGAUAAGUUGUUUGAUGAGCUGGCUCAGAAACAAAAUGAUUUAACUAGACCAAGGAUUCUAAAAGUGCAAGGCAGAGAGCUGCGGCUGAAUAAAGCCUGUGGAACUGUUGCCGACUGCACAUUUGAAGAGCUGUGUGAGAGACCACUUGGAGCCAGUGACUAUCUGGAACUGUCAAAGAAUUUCGAUACGGUAUUUUUACGAAACAUUCCACAAUUUACGCUGGCCAAGAGGACGCAAGCUCGAAGAUUCAUAACUCUCAUUGAUAACUUCUAUGAUUUCAAGGUGCGCAUAAUUUGUUCUGCAUCGACUCCUAUAUCAAGCUUAUUUUUGCAUCAACAUCAUGACAGUGAGUUGGAGCAUAGCAGAAUACUGAUGGAUGACUUGGGGCUGAGCCAGUGACAAGGAAUGUUGCUUCAAGUUACUUAAUGCUUGGAGUUCAGCCACCAGUUGCUUCAAACUUUAAGUAGCUGCAAGUUAUAAAAACCGUCUGCUCAAGUACAAAGUCAGCACCCAGACAAAACCAUCUUCAGAGAUGAAACCAACCAACCAAAGACAAAAGGAUACGGCCUAAAAUCAAAAAGUGCUGGAGCACAUGCUUAUGCUGACUCCUAAGGAAUUCAAUGAUUUAUUGGAUGAAUCUUCACUCAUCCAAGGGCAUCGGAAUCCAGAGGCAACCUGACGGAAGGGCCAGGUGGGCAAGAAAGAGCACUGGUUAGGAGUCAGGAGUACAUUGGAGACCCUGUAUUGCGUCUAGCCACGCACAACCUUGGGUCCGUCGGAAGGAUUUGCAAGGAGACCCCGAGGAAGCUGCCCCUUGAAUUCAGAGACCCAGAUGAUGACUGGAGCGGUCCACUGCAGCUCCCUGACCAUUAGCCUUCCUCUGCCACGCUCACUGCUAUCUGUCCGCGGCCUGCCUCCAGCCUGGCAGCACAGCCAUGAGCUUUCCAAUGGUACAACGAAGCAUUGAUACAGUUUUCCGGACGAUCGG